AUUAAGAAGGUCCAAAUAGUUCCAAAGGACAAUUUAGUGUCACUGUAAAUUUGGGAGAAGUUGAAAAUAACCAGCAGGUGACACUUAGCAAAAUGUGUGUUUAAAACAGAUUCUUUGCAGAGAACUGUGGGUUAGGUGUGUCUGUCCAUAUAGUUUUCACAAUACCACAAACUCUUUUCAGAUUAGACAGUUGACAAGAAGGAAGCUAUCAUCUGCAUACUAGCCUCAGAAGUGGUAAACCUGGAAUUUCAGACUUCAGCAGAUAAUUUAAAGUUAAUUGAAUCCUUCUCCUAUAAUGCAUGGAACAGCGCAACAGAACCUAUACUCAGCAGAAAGAACAGCCUGACUGUGACGGCUGGUAUAGCUCUGGUUCUGAUAGUGACUUCUGAGUAUUCUGGAUGAAAGCUGAUAAAACUAGCUACCACAAAAAAAAACCCUGUGUUGCCCUGCUUCAUUCUUCCUUUGAAAAGAAGCGAGAAGAUUGUUCCUCUGAGUCCAGCAUAACAUAGUAAAACUCUUAUUUAUGGUACAAGUAUUUUCAGUGCAGCAGUUUCCUCAUGGUCACAGAUGCACUGCCAGCAGCAGUACAGCGGGCUGCAGGCAAAGCAUGAAGAGCUAACGCUCAAGUACUUGGUGCCUCCUGACAAGCGACCCUCCAGCUGGCUUAUCCUUCCCCCUGACACAGGGUAGGGACCAGCACCAGCUUGGGGCACCCAGAUGCACAUUGGAAGGGAUGGGUACAAGGCAAUGGAGAUGAAGAAGCCUAGAAGAACAUGAUGCCCUGGGAGAAGAGAAGGAGCUCCCAGGGGAGGGGCAGGGCACAACAUGGGUUCUCUAAUUCUGACCUGUGCUUUACUCACUAAAACACAAACAAGUGAAUACUACUUACAGAGUCACCUAUUUGUUGUAUACUGACCGAAUUUGUAUUGAAUUAUGCUCGCAUUCUUGUAAAGUUGAUCCAAGUUUUGCCAUAAGCAUGUCUGUGGUUUGAUUCAGCACUGACUUCGCUUUCUGCAGGGAAGAAGACAACACAAGAACAGACCCAUCCCUAACUAGGAUUUAGCAGCUUAUACAGUACCAGAAGCAAGGGGUUGGAAAGAUGUGGUCAUGUAGAAAUUCAGAAGAGUGACAUAUGAUAAUGAAAUCUUAUUGAAUCCUUAAGUGUUCAGCACUUUUUUGAUCAGAACCAACCUCACCCAAAGGCCUCAUCACUACCUCAUAUGAUGACCCAUAGCCUUUUUGUGAUAAAUUAUCUUGCCUUCAUGUACCUGUUUACUUUCCAGAGUGGAAAAGGUGGUAACUUUUAAUGAUUCAUUCUCUGUGCCUUUUACAAAACAGUUCUUCAGGGGUUUUUCUACAUGGCUUUUGAAGAUAGAGUGAAAAAUAUAAAUAGCACUAUAUAUACACAUACAUAUAAACAUAUGUUUCUCUAGUACAUUUCAAAUGACUAAUCUGAUGGGACAUGAUUCUCCUAAAAUAACAGUGUCUCCAAUGAAGUACAGCAAAGCAGCACACUAAGAAUCACCAGACAAGUCAGGAAGUGGUAUCAGAAAUAAUCUGGCAGGACAUAAGCGAGCAAAGCAUGCUAUGAGGGGGCAGAGAGUUCAAACCCUGGGAAUGUGAAGGGAAAGUCACAUUCAGCAUUUGUGUUCUUUGGGGUUUAACCACAGUCAUGUCAGUACUACAGUUCUUGCUACAAAAAUUAAAUGUAAGUUAGAAACUGAAGCAGUCUAAAUUAGGCAAACUUCAAUUAUAAACAAAUACAAAGGGGUAAUGGGAAAACUAAAUGUAAAAAGAGCUGGUAUCAGCUACAUGGGCAGAAAUCUGUCCCCACUGGUGUGGCGUAACAGGGAACAGCUGCAGUGGAUGGCAACCAGCACCCCCUAAGCAGA